rnacentral:rRNA from 1 species
AUUGAACGCUGGCGGCAGGCCUAACACAUGCAAGUCGAGCGGAUGAAGGGAGCUUGCUCCUGGAUUCAGCGGCGGACGGGUGAGUAAUGCCUAGGAAUCUGCCUGGUAGCGGGGGAUAACGUCCGGAAACGGGCGCUAAUACCGCAUACGUCCUGAGGGAGAAAGUGGGGGAUCUUCGGACCUCACGCUAUCAGAUGAGCCUAGGUCGGAUUAGCUAGUUGGUGGGGUAAAGGCCUACCAAGGCGACGAUCCGUAACUGGUCUGAGAGGAUGAUCAGUCACACUGGAACUGAGACACGGUCCAGACUCCUACGGGAGGCAGCAGUGGGGAAUAUUGGACAAUGGGCGAAAGCCUGAUCCAGCCAUGCCGCGUGUGUGAAGAAGGUCUUCGGAUUGUAAAGCACUUUAAGUUGGGAGGAAGGGCAGUAAGUUAAUACCUUGCUGUUUUGACGUUACCAACAGAAUAAGCACCGGCUAACUUCGUG